rnacentral:rRNA from 1 species
AGUUAAUUGUUAAAUCAAUUUAAUUUGAUUUAAAUUAAAUUAUUUAAGUAUCAAAAUAGUAAAUAAAGUAUUAUUUAUUUUAUUAUAUUAUUAGAAAAAUUUAAUUUUAUUAUAGUAAACUAGUAUUGUGAAAGAAAUUUUAAUUUAGAAAUUUAUAAUUUUUUAAGAAAAAUAAAUUUUGUACCUUGUGUAUCAGGGUUUAUUAACUAAUCAUUAAUUAUUUAAUUUUCUCGAUUUUAAAAGAGCUAAUAAAUUAUUAAUUUUAUUGUAAAAUAAAUAUUUAUAAUAACUUAUUAGUAAUGAAAUGUUAUUCGUUUUUAAAUAUAUCUAGUUUUUAAAGAAAAAAAUUUAAUUUUUUAAUUUAAUUAUAAAUUUAUAUUUUUAAAUAAAAUUAUAAUUAAAUUAAUAUAUUUUUAGGGAUUAGCUUAAAAAUAUAUUUUUAUAAAUAAAUAAAAUUUUAUUUAAUUUGUAAAAUUAAAAAUUUUUAUCAUAAUAAUAUGUUAUAAUUAAUUAUAUAAAAAAUAUAAUUUUUAUUUAUUUUAAAUUAUUUAUUUAAAUAAUCUAUUUAAUUUAAAAAUAAAUCUAAUAAUGAUAAAAUUAGUAUAAUUUAUUUUAUAAAUAAUUUAAAAAUUAUAAAUUAAGUAAAGGAAUUCGGCAAAUUUAUUUUUCGCCUGUUUAUUAAAAACAUGUCUUUUUGAUUAUAAUUUAAAGUCUAAUCUGCCCACUGAUUUUUUAAAGGGCUGCAGUAUUUUGACUGUACAAAGGUAGCAUAAUCAUUAGUUUCUUAAUUAGAAGCUUGUAUGAAUGAUUGGACGAAAAAAUAACUGUCUUUAUUUAAAUAAGUUAAAUUUUAUUUUUAAGUCAAAAAGCUUAAAUAUAAUUAAAAGACGAGAAGACCCUAUAGAGUUUUAUAAUUAUUAUAUUAAUAUAUUUUAGUAUAUUUAUUUUAUAAAUAUAAUAUUUAAUUUAUUGGGGUGAUAAAAAAAUUUAAUUAACUUUUUUUAAUUUAAACAUUAAUUUAUGAUAAAAUGAUCCAUUACUUAUGAUUAAAAGAUUAAAUUACCUUAGGGAUAACAGCGUAAUUUUUUUUGAGAGUUCUAAUCGAAAAAAAAGUUUGCGACCUCGAUGUUGGAUUAAAAUUAAAUUUUGGUGUAGUAGCUAAAAUAUUAAGUCUGUUCGACUUUUAAAAUUUUACAUGAUCUGAGUUUAAACCGGUGUAAGCCAGGUUGGUUUCUAUCUUUAAUAUAUAAUAAUAUUUUAGUACGAAAGGACCAAAUAUUAAUAAUAAUUAUUUUAUUAGAAUAAAAUUAUUAUUUUGGCAGAUUAGUGCAUUAAAUUUAGAAUUUAAUUAUGUAUAAAAAUACAAA